GAGUUUGAUCGUGGCUCAGGACGAACGCUGGCGGCGUGCUUAACACAUGCAAGUCGAACGGUAAGGCCCUUCGGGGUACACGAGUGGCGAACGGGUGAGUAACACGUGAGCAACCUGCCCUUGACUCUGGAAUAACAGCUGGAAACAGCUGCUAAUACCGGAUAUGACUUACGACGACAUCGUCGUGAGUGGAAAGCCCUGGCGGUCAAGGAUGGGCUCGCGGCCUAUCAGCUUGU
rnacentral:rRNA from 1 species